AGAAUCUUAAAAAAGAACAUGACCUCUAAAAGGCCUGAGAAAACAAUGACAUACAAUGUGUCUGGCACCCCCAUAUUUCGAUAAAAUCCUUUCACGAACAAAACAUCAGAAACCAUAAACACUGCCAUUGUUGCUUGAAUGCUUCCAAUUAAUUUCCUUGCUGGAACUGUUUUCAAGUGUUGAUUGUAGAUGAUGCUCCAUAGAAGCAUUGCUGCCUGCCCAAAAACCUUAGAGAUCCCUAGUAGUGA
rnacentral:misc_RNA from 1 species